AGUGAACGCUGGCGGUAGGCCUAACACAUGCAAGUCGAACGGCAGCACAGUAAGAGCUUGCUCUUACGGGUGGCGAGUGGCGGACGGGUGAAGAAUACAUCGGAAUCUACUUUUUCGUGGGGGAUAACGUAGGGAAACUUACGCUAAUACCGCAUACGACCUACGGGUGAAAGCAGGGGAUCUUCGGACCUUGCGCGAUUGAAUGAGCCGAUGUCGGAUUAGCUAGUUGGCGGGGUAAAGGCCCACCAAGGCGACGAUCCGUAGCUGGUCUGAGAGGAUGAUCAGCCACACUGGAACUGAGACACGGUCCAGACUCCUACGGGAGGCAGCAGUGGGGAAUAUUGGACAAUGGGCGCAAGCCUGAGCCAGCCAUACCGCGUGGGUGAAGAAGGCCUUCGGGUUGUAAAGCCCUUUUGUUGGGAAAGAAAAGCAGCAGGUUAAGACCCCGCUGUUCUGACGGUACCCAAAGAAUAAGCACCGGCGAACUUCGG
rnacentral:rRNA from 1 species